UAUUUUUUUCGUGUUGAAUAAUAGCUCUUUUGUCUUGGCAAAUGGAGCAUAUAUACUGCAUUAGAAAAAGGUAAUUAAAUCGUUUUUGAAAUGACGAAAGUGCAGAUUUUUGACUUGGACUAAUCAGUAACAAUUUCAUUGUCGAAUCUAUGAACGAACAAACUUUUAUGAUUGCUGGGAGAGGUGAAUUAACCUCAGAUUGUUCUGGUUCACUUCACAGGCAGUGGCUGAGUAAUGCAUCGCCCUGAAACCGCCUGGAUCUCUCCUCAUGGCAGCUGUAGGAAACACAGGAACUCCGUGACCUGGAAAAUGUGGGACAACUGCCACAAGGUGACCCUGGAAGGCUGGGGUCUAUUCACAACACCACGAACACCCACCCGGAUCCUCCACUGUUGCUGGUGCUGUUGGAGGACAGAGGCUUGCUUGUCAUCUGGCGCUGUGAGUCACAAGGAGACGAAUUGUGGCACUUGGUACUUCUAGAUUCCAAGUUCGUUUCGGCAGCAUGACACACAUAAUGGAAUGGGUUAGAUUGGCAGUCAUGUGUGAGGUUUUCUUUUUUCUUUUCUAAAAAACAUUUCUUAAGAGGCUGGUAAAAUGAAGAGUCGAUGGCCAAGAAUGUAGAUUAUGCAGAGAAUGUCAGAAUUUAUUUGUCAUUUUAUCAUUUGUUACUACUAAGCCUAAGAUAAUGCUAAGUUGAAACUGAGAUAAAAAUGACAUAAUUGGCCAAGUUUUUUUCUUCACUACAAAACUCAUUUUUUUUUCCCUCUGAGAAAGAAUGCAAAAAUAUUUAAAACUAUAGGUUGUGUGCUAAGAGAUGCAUGAAUAUAGAAAGCAUUAUGCUACUUUAAUGGGUCAUGGAAAGAAAAUAUGUUGUACAAGUAUAACACACAUAUUCAGAAUGUGUAAUAAAGGAUAGUGUCAUCUUUAAAAAUGAAAGAAA
rnacentral:lncRNA from 12 species